rnacentral:rRNA from 1 species
GAUGAACGCUGGCGGCGUGCCUAAUACAUGCAAGUCGAGCGAACAGACGAGGAGCUUGCUCCUCUGACGUUAGCGGCGGACGGGUGAGUAACACGUGGAUAACCUACCUAUAAGACUGGGAUAACUUCGGGAAACCGGAGCUAAUACCGGAUAAUAUAUUGAACCGCAUGGUUCAAUAGUGAAAGGCGGUUUUGCUGUCACUUAUAGAUGGAUCCGCGCCGCAUUAGCUAGUUGGUAAGGUAACGGCUUACCAAGGCAACGAUGCGUAGCCGACCUGAGAGGGUGAUCGGCCACACUGGAACUGAGACACGGUCCAGACGCCGACGGGAGGCAGCAGUAGGGAAUCUUCCGCAAUGGGCGAAAGCCUGACGGAGCAACGCCGCGUGAGUGAUGAAGGUCUGCGGAUCGUAAACUCUGUUAUUAGGGAAGAACAAAUGUGUAAGUAACUAUGCACGUCUUGACGGUACCUAAUCAGAAAGCCACGGCUAACUACGUG